CUGUCCGUGUCUGUCUGUCCGUCCGUGUCCCGCCUCCUGUGUCUGUCUGUGUCAUCCCCCCACCGCCGUGUCCGUCUGUCCAUCCAUGUCCCCCUGUGUCCAUCUGUCCAUCCAUGUCCCCUCCCCAUGUCCGUCUGUCCAUUCCCCCCCGUCUGUCUGUCCAUCCAUGUCUCGCCGUGUCUGUCUGUCCAUCCAUGUUCCCCCAUGUGUCCGUCCGUCCAUCUGUAUCCCCUGCCAUGUCUGUCUGUCCAUGUCCUCCCUGUGUCCGUCUGUCCAUGUCCUCCCUGUGUCUGUCUGUCCAUGUCCUCCCCGUGUCCAUCCAUCCAUCCAUCCCCCCCCCAUGUCUGUCUGUCUGUCUGCCAUCCAACCCUCCCCCCAAUCCAUCUGUCCCCACCACUGUCCAUCCCUGUCCAUCUGUCCAUCCCUGUCUGUCCGUGCCCCGCUCUGUCCGUCUGUCUGUGCCCCCCAUUGUCCAUCCCUGUCCGUCUGUCCGUCCUGCCACAGUGACUCGUAGCCAUCUGUCCCCUCCCCUCUGUCACCUCCUGCCCGCUGUCCCCACGUCCGUCUGUCCCUCAGUGUAACUACGUCCAUCUGUCCCUCGGUGUCCCCUCUGUCUGUCUGUCCCCCUGUCAAUCAUCCCUCUGUCCCCUGCCCCCGCUGUCCUUCUGUCCCUACUGUCCGUCUGUCCCCCCCUCUAUCCCCCCCGUCCAUUGUCCCCUGCCUGUCCCCUGUCCAUCCCUGUGUCCCUCUGUCCAUUGUCCCCUCUCUGUCCUCUCUGUCCAUCUCCGUGUCCCCCUCACGCACAGACCCGUGUGUCCGUCUGUCCCCCCGUUGUCCCCCCAUCCAUCUGUCCCCCUGUCCGUUGUCCCGUCUGUCCCCUGUCCAUCUGUCUGUCCCCUGUCCCUGUGUCCAUCCAUGUCCAUCUGUCCGUCCCCUGUCCCUGUGUCCAUCCGUGUCCAUCUGUCCGUCCCCCGUGUGUCCCUGUCCCCGUGUCCCCCUGUCUGUCCCUAUGUCCAUCUGUCUGUCCCCUGUGUGUCCCCUGUCCCUGUGUCCAUCCGUGUCCAUCUGUCCGACCCUCGUGUGUCCCUGUGUCCAUCCGUGUCCGUCUGUCCGUCCGUCCCCCCACGUGUCCCUGUGUCCAUCUGUCUGUCCCAUGUCCAUCAGUCCCCGUCUGUCCCCUGUCCAUCCAUGUCCAUCUGUCCAUCCCCCGUGUGUCCCCUGUCCAUCCGUGUCCAUCUGUCUGUCCCAUGUCUGUCAGUCCCCUGUGUGUCCCCUGUCCAUUGUCCCCAUGUCCAUCCGUGUCCGUCUGUGUCCAUCUGUCCGUCCGUCCCCCCCGUGUGUCCCUGUCCCUGUGUCCAUCCAUGUCCAUCUGUCCCCAUGUCUAUGUGUCCCCUUGUCUGUGUGUCCAUGUGUCCCAAUGUCCAUAGGGCCCAUGUCCCCAUG
rnacentral:lncRNA from 1 species